UACGAAGGGGGCUAGCGUUGCUCGGAAUCACUGGGCGUAAAGCGCACGUAGGCGGAUAUUUAAGUCGGUGGUGAAAUCCUGGAGCUCAACUCCAGAACUGCCUCCGAUACUGAAUGUCUUCGAGUCCGGGAGAGGUGAGUGGAACUGCGAGUGUAGAGGUGAAAUUCGUAGAUAUUCGCAAGAACACCAGCGGCGAAGGCGGCAUCCUGGACUGGUCCUGACACUCAGGAGCGAAAGCGUGGGGAGCGAUCCGG
rnacentral:rRNA from 1 species